UACGGAGGGUGCAAGCGUUGUCCGGAAUCACUGGGCGUAAAGGGCGCGUAGGCGGCUCGGUAAGUAGGGGGUGAAAUCCUGCGGCUUAACCGCAGGGCUGCCUUCUAAACUGUCGAGCUCGAGCACGGUAGAGGCAGAUGGAAUUCCCGGUGUAGCGGUGAAAUGCGCAGAUAUCAGGAGGAACACCGGUGGCGAAGGCGGCAUUCUGGACCGAUAUUGACGCUGAGGAGCGAAAGCCAGGGGAGCAAACGGG
rnacentral:rRNA from 1 species